rnacentral:rRNA from 1 species
ACGGUAACGGUUAAGCUGACGAGUGGCGAACGGGUGAGUAAUCUAUCGGAACGUGCCCAGUCGUGGGGGAUAACUGCUCGAAAGAGCAGCUAAUACCGCAUACGACCUGAGGGUGAAAGCGGGGGAUCGCAAGACCUCGCGCGAUUGGAGCGGCCGAUAUCAGAUUAGGUAGUUGGUGGGGUAAAGGCCCACCAAGCCAACGAUCUGUAGCUGGUCUGAGAGGACGACCAGCCACACUGGGACUGAGACACGGCCCAGACUCCUACGGGAGGCAGCAGUGGGGAAUUUUGGACAAUGGGCGCAAGCCUGAUCCAGCCAUGCCGCGUGCGGGAAGAAGGCCUUCGGGUUGUAAACCGCUUUUGUCAGGGAAGAAAAGGUUCUGGUUAAUACCUGGGACUCAUGACGGUACCUGAAGAAUAAGCACCGGCUAACUACGUGCCAGCAGCCGCGGUAAUACGUAGGGUGCAAGCGUUAAUCGGAAUUACUGGGCGUAAAGCGUGCGCAGGCGGUUAUGCAAGACAGAGGUGAAAUCCCCGGGCUCAACCUGGGAACUGCCUUUGUGACUGCAUGGCUAGAGUACGGUAGAGGGGGAUGGAAUUCCGCGUGUAGCAGUGAAAUGCGUAGAUAUGCGGAGGAACACCGAUGGCGAAGGCAAUCCCCUGGACCUGUACUGACGCUCAUGCACGAAAGCGUGGGGAGC